AUGGUGUUUUAACACCCAGCUAUACUAAGGGCUGUAACAGAUUAUUCUGUUGGGACUACCGCAAUCCUAAGCCCUUAGUUUUGCU
rnacentral:sRNA from 12 species